GUUCUCCAUUCGCGCAGAUACGGUUCCGUAACGAUAACAUUUCACGAGUUAAACGAUACAGUAUAUAACACAACAUCAACAUACAGUAUUGUAUUCCCAUCGUGUACGACGGUUUAUGCUGGUCGUUGAAAUGUUCAAUACGGCCAGUGCUAAAUCCAAACGCUUGCGAGUCUUUAUGGCGAAAUUAAUGGAGUUUUUUUUUUUUUGUAUUUUUAUCGAUAACCGUUUUAAGUUCGAAUUUUAUUGAAAAUCGUACGAAACGCGGCAUUUCGUGUACCGUUUUACCGUUUCGGUAAUAAUGUUCGAAAAUUUGACACUAAGUUUACAAUAACAGUUCCACGGCUUAGUGCAAGAAAGGCCAAUGUUACAUUUUGUGAUUGCUGGGAAACGCGCUUCGACAUUUAAAUUCCCCGCGAGGCCUUGUAUAUUUUAUUAAAUGUAAAUGUUCGUGUGAUUUUCAAUUUUUACGAAAACGUAAACAAUUUUCAUUUAGAAACUAAAAAUAUUGUACACUUUUUUUUUUUUGGACUGAUUUUUUCAAAAAAAAUUAUUAUUAUUAUUAAAAAUUAACAUUGGUCCUUUUUGCACCAAGCUAUAGAGUUGUACUUAUUGAUAAACAGAGCUGAUACUGUUGACGGCUGUUGUAGGUGGAAAGUUGGGAAAUAAAUAAGUAUAGAUAUUAGAUAUCCUCACUGAUUUAUAUCUGUACGUGAUAAAAAGCAAUAUUCCAUUAGUCAUGUUUUUAAAUGCCGUGAUUUUUACGAUUUUCGUCAAAAUUUAAACUUGGAACGCUUAUAAAAAAAAAAAAAACAACAUUACCUAUGUUCAUCCGUUAUUUUUUACCAUCAAGUACAACUUGUGUUGAGCUUUGUUUUCAAUGACAAACUAAAUUCUUCUCCGCAACUUACACUUUAUUUGCUGGUGGACUAAAUUUCCAUUGUAAUAGUGAUCCUACACGCCCGAAAUUGUU